rnacentral:rRNA from 1 species
UGCCAGCCACCGCGGUUAUACGAGAGACCCUAAUUGAUAAAAACGGCGUAAAGCGUGGUUAAGAAAAUAAAAAGAUACGGCCGAACAGAUUCAAAGCAGUUAUACGCAUUCGAAACAACGAAGACCAAGCACGAAAGUUGCCCUAAAAAACUCUGACCCCACGAAAGCCAUAAAACAAACUGGGAUUAGAUACCCCACUAUGUAUGGUCGUUAACAUUGAUGAUUUUAUACCCGAAUCAUCCGCCUGGGAACUACGAGCAAUAGCUUAAAACCCAAAGGACUUGGCGGUGCUUUAGACCCCCCUAGAGGAGCCUGUUCUAGAACUGAUAACCCCCGUUUAACCUCACCACCCUUUGUUUACCCCGCUUAUAUACCACCGUCGUCAGCUUACCCUAUGAAGGGAAAAUAGUAAGCAUAAAUGGCAAAGCCAAAAACGUCAGGUCGAGGUGUAGCGCAUGGGGCGGGAAGAAAUGGGCUACAUUCUCUGCCAUAGAGAACACGAAUUGUAAUUUGAAAAAAUUACCUGAAGGAGGAUUUAGCAGUAAGUGAAGAAUAGAGUGCCUCACUGAAAACGGCCCUGAAGCGCGCACACACCGCCCGUCACUCUCUCCUAAUAAAACCUAAAUAUUACCUAAAAUGCUUUUUAUCACAAGGGGAGGCAAGUCGUAACAUGGUAAGCGUACCGGA